GGGGUCUGUGGCUCAGUGGUAGAGCAUCAGCUUUGCAUGCAGAAGGUUCCUGGUUCAAACCCAGGCAUUUCCA